rnacentral:lncRNA from 1 species
UAAAUAAAUACAUACGUAAAUUAAUACAUUAUUCAUUUAUUUAUAAUAAAAAGCUCCGUAAACGCGUCUGGCCCCGCCUCCUUUUGUGAGGUCAGCGGUGUCCUCCCCACAAUGCACCACGGCGCUGAGCCAACAUGGCGGCCGUUGGGUCAGAAAAACACUGAGGGUUAGCUCUGAGGUUAGGCCGAAAACAGCGCUCUUUAGCCCGGCUACAACAGCAGCCACGGCCCGCUGGAGCUGUCCCGGAGACCGAGCCGACCACAGCGCUCCCUAACCCCGCUACAGUCUCAGCCACGGCCCGCUGGAGCCACCCCGGAGACCGAGCCGACCACAGCGCUCCCUAACCCCGCUACAGCCUCAGCCACGGUCUGCUGGAGCCACCCCGGAGACCGAGCCGACCACAGCGCUCCCUAACCUCGCUCCCGGAGCCACCCCGGAGCUCAGGCCGACAACAGCGCUCUCUAACCCCGCUAGAACCUCAGCCACGGCCCGCUGGAGCCACCCCGGAGCUCAGGCCGACCACAGCGCUCUCUAACCCCGCUCGAACCUCAGCCACGGCCCGCUGGAGCUGUCCCGGAGCUCAGGCCGAACACAGCGCUUCCUAACUCCGCUACAGCCUCAGCCACGGCCCGCUGGAGCUGUCCCGGAGCUCAGGCCGAACACAGCGCUUCCUAACCCCGCUACUGCCUCAGCCACGGCCCGCUGGAGCUGUCCCGGAGCCCAGGCCGAACACAGCGCUCCCUAACCCCGCUACAGCCUCAGCCACGUCCCUGGAUUUUAAUUUAUUGAUUCCGUAUUUUAGCAGAGCCGUCCCUAAGCCCGGGCCGGACCACAGCCGGACCACAGCCCCGCAGCCAGACCCCAGCCAGACCCCAGCCAGACCCCAGCCAGACCACAGCCAGACCCCAGCCAGACCCCAGCCGGACCACAGCCGGACCACAGCCGGACCACAGCCGGACCACAGCCGGACCACAGCCGGACCACAGUCCCGCAGCCAGAGCUCCGGGAGGCUCGUCUGACGGCACUGAUCCCACAGAACCUCACAGCUACGCACGAGACGAGGGAGGAUGUAAAGACGAGGGAAGGAGGUAAAGACGAGGGAAGGAAACACUUCACAGACGGGUUCCUUUACAUUCAAACA